UUCAUCAAAAGUGGCACUUACAUUAACCAAAAAUAAAAAAAAUGGCACUUAAAAUCUGAUUAUUUGAUUAUUUCUUUAUGGACUAUUAAUCUGAUUAUUUGAUUAUUAAUCUGAUUAUUUGCUAUUUGGUCACUUAAAAUCAAUUUAAUGGCUGCUACUUCUGUUAGCUGUUUUUAGUCAUUAUUCCUUAAAAUUCUUACAUACUGUACUACUUGUGAUUAAAAUUCUAACCCCAUUUAUCUUAUGGUAGCUAUCAUCAAAAUUGUGGACAGUAGCUAACAAAGUGGAAACAUAUACAAACAAAUGGAAGUACUCCGGUUUGUGAUUCCAUAUGCGCCCUAAUAGCCAGGAUGGUGAAACAUUAUCUCAACUAAUCAGGAUACAUGGUCCUAAUCUAAUCACAUAAAACGAUAUGGUUUAGAAAUGCUAUGCAGUUCCCAUCAUUUUUUUUUUUGUUAGAGCCCUAUCACAUCUAUCUUCUAUCAAUGUAAUAGUAGUGAAAAGGCACUUGUAAUGUGGGAGGAGCUGUAAAGGCACAAAGGUUUGAGAUAAACUGCCAACAACUUUUAAAUCAUAUAGAAGUAAUUGCGCUUCAUUUCGUGUGGCCUUCUUGUUCUGCUGUGCUGGUUUAAAUGCCUUACUUCUAUGUGAUUGUUGUGAUUAUAAUGUUGUCUACCUUUUAGCAUUAUGAACAAAGGGACUGUGAUGAAACUUUAGUAAUGCGUCAUAGGAUUGUAGAGUAAAUGGUGGAAAGCAGAAAUGCAUUUGUUUUCAACCCCCUCUUUGUCGUCUCCGGCUAGCCCUUUAUUUUCUUCUUGUCUGCUGUCUGUAAUAAAAUGAGUGAUUCCAACUUCAUAUUUACUUUUAUUGUUAUCUUUUUAAAUUAAGUGCUAGCCUUUAAUAUUUGGAUAAUGACUAUGAAUAUCUUUCCUGGAAAUGUCAUAUGAUAUCAGGUUAGACUGGAUCCUUCUAGGCCCUUAAGCAAGCGGAAGCAUUGGGUUGUUGCUGAAAUUCUGAAGAAAGCACGUAUUUAUGUGCCACCAUCAGCUGAUAGCUUUGUGGGUUUAGAUGGCAAAACUGAAGCACAAACUUCUGCAGCCUCUUGAACUUAGAUCAAAAUCAAUGUGCCUUCUGGGUUUGUUUUUUCAAUUUCUUCUAGCUUUAUUUUGGAAACGAUGAAUUGUGAGAAUGUGUAAGCUCGUGGUCGUAGGCUUCAUAAUGUUGAAAGUUGCAUCACUAAAUGUAUAACCUAUACUAUUUUAUGGGCUUUUUUAUAUUUUAUCUCAUGCGUCUUUUUCUAGUCUUAUUUAAAUAAUAAGGAAAAUUUUGGAAAAAUAUGGUAACAGCAUCUGGUACGCUCACCAUCUUACUGUGAUUCGUGUUGGCUAGCUUGGUUGUGCUUCCUGUUUCAUAAAUAAAGUGAUUUAGCUGUUCAGCAUUAUAUCUUUGGAUCCAAUGAUGUAUUAGUAUGUGGAGUUUGAGGUGUCUUACCAUAUUGCAUUUUGAUUCUUGUUUUACGAUACUACUUUUAUUAUUAGUAGUAGUAGUAUUAUUAAUUUUUCAUUAUCUUCU
rnacentral:lncRNA from 1 species